UUAUAAGCCUGUAUAUACAACAGUGAGUACCUGUUUGUAUGAGUAUAGGUGCAGCUUGUAGUAGUAAGAGUGUAUGUGUGUGGAAUUAUGCUGUUUGUGUGAGAGGGGAAAGGCAGGGAGGGAGCAAAUUGGGAUCCACACAGCAAUAAUGCUUUAUCUCUCCUCAGGCCCUGCUUGGCACAUCCUAACUUCUCUGACUGCAUUUUGGGAUCACUACUGAGUCUGAACCUCAGCGCCCUUCGAGGGGCAGAGCCACAGGUUGGGAGUGGGUGCUGAGACUGGGAGAGAGACUUUUUUUUAUGGGGGGCAGCUACAGAGGCCGAUCUAGAGAUGUGCUCCUUCAGCUCUUCUCUCACUGAGCCUGCUUCCUGAUCAGAACAAUGGGCCUGUACCUGCGGACCUACCCACUAAGUAUCCUGUGAGCCGUCCUGCUCUGUGCUCUGAGAAACCGACAUGAAGGCCCAUGUACUGGUCUGCCUGGAGACUGAGGAAGAGUUAAGACUGAUUCAUUCUUCCUUGCCUGGACCAAGACUCUGACUUGUCUUCCUUCCUACACUCCUCCCGUUGGAGGGAUGUAUAUACUCAUAAAAGAGGGUGAGCUCACAGGUCAUCCAUCCAUCCCACUGCAUUCUGCACUGCAUUCUGGUGAAAGAAUGCCCGCCUGCCCUUUCGCGUGGACCCUCAGUAAAUGCUGGCCCGGUGACGUGAUACACUGUAAUUCAAGGUGCUACCAGAAGAGGGCGUCUGGAAGUCAUCCGCUCCUGGCCCACUCCCUCCAGCUCCCACUUGCCUCUCCUGGGAACCUGUAGUCAGGACCAAGCCAGCCUGGGCAAGAUCCAACUUG
rnacentral:lncRNA from 1 species